UACGUAGGGUGCAAGCGUUAAUCGGAAUUACUGGGCGUAAAGCGUGCGCAGGCGGCUUUGCAAGACAGGUGUGAAAUCCCCGGGCUUAACCUGGGAACUGCAUUUGUGACUGCAUGGCUGGAGUGCGGCAGAGGGGGAUGGAAUUCCGCGUGUAGCAGUGAAAUGCGUAGAUAUGUGGAGGAACACCGAUGGCGAAGGCAGCCCCCUGGGCCAGCACUGACGCUCAUGCACGAAAGCGUGGGGAGCAAACAGG
rnacentral:rRNA from 1 species